rnacentral:rRNA from 1 species
GUGCAGCAGUCGCGAAUCUUUAGCAAUGCCCGAAAGGGUGACUAUGCGACGCCGCGUGAGCGAUGAAGUCCUUCGGGACGUAAAGCUCUGUCAGGUGGGAUGAAUUUUUUCGACCUUAACAGGGGUUGAAUUUGUACCGUACCACCAGAGGAAGCCACGGCUAACUCCGUGCCAGCAGCCGCGGUAAUACGGAGGUGGCAAGCGUUGUUCGGAUUUAUUGGGUGUAAAGGGCAUGUAGGUGUCCUAGUAAGUCCUGGCUGAAAUCCUUCGGCUCAACCGAAGAACGUGUCAGGAAACUAGCUGGGAUUGAGUACGGAAGAGGAGAACGGAA